GAUAAACGCUGGCGGCGCACAUAAGACAUGCAAGUCGAACGGAAGUCGUUAUAAAAAGAGAGAAGAUUUAUCGGAUUGAAUUUUAUAACAAUGGCUUUAGUGGCGGACUGGUGAGUAACGCGUAAGGAACCUACCUGUUAGAGGGGAACAACAAUGAGAAAUCAUUGCUAAUACCGCAUAUGCCAUAACUACCGCAUGGUAGAAGUGGGAAAGGAGUAAUCCGCUGAUAGAUGGCCUUGCGUCUGAUUAGUUAGUUGGUGGGGUAACGGCCUACCAAGACGACGAUCAGUAGCCGGACUGAGAGGUUGAACGGCCACAUUGGGACUGAGAUACGGCCCAGACUCCUACGGGAGGCAGCAGUCGGGAGUAUUGCGCAAUGGAGGAAACUCUGACGCAGUGACGCCGCGUGCAGGAAGAAGGUUUUCGGAUUGUAAACUGCUUUAGACAGGGAAGAGAAAGGACAGUA
rnacentral:rRNA from 1 species